GUGGCGAACGGGUGAGUAAUGCAUCGGAACGUGCCCAGUAGUGGGGGAUAGCCCGGCGAAAGCCGGAUUAAUACCGCAUACGACCUACGGGUGAAAGCGGGGGACCGCAAGGCCUCGCGCUAUUGGAGCGGCCGAUGUCAGAUUAGGUUGUUGGUGGGGUAAAAGCCUACCAAGCCGACGAUCUGUAGCUGGUCUGAGAGGACGACCAGCCACACUGGGACUGAGACACGGCCCAGACUCCUACGGGAGGCAGCAGUGGGGAAUUUUGGACAAUGGGGGCAACCCUGAUCCAGCCAUGCCGCGUGCGGGAAGAAGGCCUUCGGGUUGUAAACCGCUUUUGUCAGGGAAGAAACGCUCUGGGCUAAUACCCCGGGGUAAUGACGGUACCUGAAGAAUAAGCACCGGCUAACUACGUGCCAGCAGCCGCGGUAAUACGUAGGGUGCAAGCGUUAAUCGGAAUUACUGGGCGUAAAGCGUGCGCAGGCGGUCCUGCAAGACAGAUGUGAAAUCCCCGGGCUUAACCUGGGAACUGCAUUUGUGACUGCGAGGCUGAGUGCGGCAGAGGGGGAUGGAAUUCCGCGUGUAGCAGUGAAAUGCGUAGAUAUGCGGAGGAACACCGAUGGCGAAGGCAAUCCCCUGGGCCUGCACUGACGCUCAUGCACGAAAGCGUGGGGAGCAAACAGGAUUAGAUACCCUGGUAGUCCACGCCCUAAACGAUGUCAACUGGUUGUUGGACGGCUUGCUGUUCAGUAACGAAGCUAACGCGUGAAGUUGACCGCCUGGGGAGUACGGCCGCAAGGUUGAAACUCAAAGGAAUUGGCGGGGACCCGCACAAGCGGUGGAUGAUGUGGUUUAAUUCGAUGCAACGCGAAAAACCUUACCUACCCUUGACAUGUCAAGAAUCUUGCAGAGAUGUGAGAGUGCUCGAAAGAGAACUUGAACACAGGUGCUGCAUGGCCGUCGUCAGCUCGUGUCGUGAGAUGUUGGGUUAAGUCCCGCAACGAGCGCAACCCUUGUCAUUAGUUGCUACGAAAGGGCACUCUAAUGAGACUGCCGGUGACAAACCGGAGGAAGGUGGGGAUGACGUCAGGUCCUCAUGGCCCUUAUGGGUAGGGCUACACACGUCAUACAAUGGCCGGUACAGAGGGCCGCCAACCCGCGAGGGGGAGCUAAUCCCAGAAAACCGGUCGUAGUCCGGAUCGCAGUCUGCAACUCGACUGCGUGAAGUCGGAAUCGCUAUUAAUCGCGGAUCAGCUUGCCGCGGUGAAUACGUUCCCGGGUCUUGUACACACCGCCCGUCACACCAUGGGAGCGGGUUCUGCCAGAAGUAGUUAGCCUAACCGCAAGGGGGGCGAUUACCACGGCAGGGUUCGUGACUGGGGUGAAGUCGUAACAAGGUA
rnacentral:rRNA from 1 species